GAGAAAAACAGGGACCUUGAAGGUCAAGUCCAACCUCCUGCUCAGAAGAAACAACUAAGGAGACUCGUCGCCUAGAACUUGAAGCUGCUUUGUCACAUGAACAACAGUGCAGAACUGGGAAGGUUACCUGGUCCUAAUUGCACAGUGUUUUCCCCCGUGCCCCAAUGAUCAAUUGGAUCACAUAAACAAGGAAAGAGUAUUCCUGCCGCAGGCCAGUCAAGAAUUGCUGAGUAGAUUUGAUCAUGCUAUAAGUCUCCUUGGGCAUCACUGAAUUAUAAAGCAAGACAUAAAUCCUUAAAAUGUUUCCUCUAUGAAAUCAGCAGAGAAACCCAGAGAACCAAGAGUGCUCCCAAAGUCAUCCCAUCAACUUUUGGAUAAACUAUUUCAUGGAGUGCAAUAGUUUACUCAUAUAUGUAUCCAAUGCUUUUUUUUGUAAAAAAAAAAAAAAAAAAAGGUGCUGGAACUCACAUAUGUCAUACAACCGGCCUUGCCUACCCUACAAGGUUCCAUCCCAAAAAGUUGCCGGAACGUUCUGGGCGUUCUAUGACAAAAAAAGAGGCCUGUAUGUAUCUUUGAUCUCUAAUGGGAUACUUAGUAUUGAUGUUGAAAAAUGAUUGGUUUUGCUGUGAUCCACUAUUCUCACCAAUUUUUACUUAGCAAUGUCAUCCUGAUUCAGUAGGUCUAGAGUAAAGUACAGUAUAGUAAGGGGGGGGAAUCCUCAUGCUUCUGCCUGGAACCCCAACUAUUUACACUGUGUGUACACAUAUCUGUAAAUUCAUGUUAUGAACAUUUCUUUUUAUAAUUGUGCCCUUGAAACCAUUAUUUUUUUUAAAGAGACUCUAUGGGAGGGACCUACUGUUAUCUUUAGCCCCAGAUAAAUUUAGUUACUGUUUUUAGUUUGGACAAAGCUGUAUUUUGGAAAACUAUCUUUGUUUUUAAAAGCUUGAGAAACCAUUGCCAGACAAACAAAACAAUUAACCUUGAAUUAUUAUUCAAUUCACCUUUCAGUUUGCUAAUAUUUCUACUCAGAAAAGCCGAAUAAUAUUUCUGGAUUAGGUUCCAUUUUAUGACAAAAUACAUUCAUAAUAUGUGAUAAAAUGUUAUAAUUUUAUGAAGUUUUUCUGACAUUUCAGAUCAUUUGCCCUAUAAUAAAAUUUCAGGUAGAUUAAUUGAUAACAUAAAAAUCUUACAAUACUGUUCAUUUAAUUAUAUCUGAACCUUUAACAUUAGUAAUCUAAAUUGUGAAAAAUGUAUUUCUGCACAUAGCUGAAAUUUAGAAAUUGUCUUUUUUUAACAUGCAUUUUAUCUAACCUGAGACUGUUCAUAUAGCAUUAAAAUCUAUAUCUGAAAGUGAAAAA